rnacentral:ncRNA from 1 species
CUGUUCUCUUAGGUCAGAGUUAAACGGGAAACUGGUGAAAAAGGCUCAUAGCCAAUGAUUCCAGUGCUGCCCCCGCAACGGUAAGCAACUCAGAUUAAACAACCAGCCACUGAGCGAUCAAUGCUUGGGAAGGCGUUUAAUCAAAGUCACUUCGUGAUUUAAGUUGUAAGCCCGGAUACCGGCCUAGAUAUAUUU